GACGAACGCUGGCGGCGUGCUUAACACAUGCAAGUCGUACGGUAAGGCCCUUUCGGGGGUACACGAGUGGCGAACGGGUGAGUAACACGUGAGUAACCUGCCCACAACUUUGGGAUAACGCUAGGAAACUGGUGCUAAUACUGGAUAUGUGCUCCUGCUGCAUGGUGGGGGUUGGAAAGCUCCGGCGGUUGUGGAUGGACUCGCGGCCUAUCAGCUUGUUGGUGGGGUAGUGGCCUACCAAGGCGGCGACGGGUAGCCGGCCUGAGAGGGUGACCGGCCACAGUGGGACUGAGAUACGGCCCAGACUCCUACGGGAGGCAGCAGUGGGGAAUAUUGCACAAUGGGCGCAAGCCUGAUGCAGCAACGCCGCGUGCGGGAUAACGGCCUUCGGGUUGUAAACCGCUUUCAGCAGGGACGAAGCUUUUUGUGACGGUACCUGCAGAAGAAGCACCGGCUAACUACGUG
rnacentral:rRNA from 1 species